rnacentral:misc_RNA from 1 species
GAUGAAGAACGUAGCGAAAUGCGAUACUUGGUGUGAAUUGCAGAAUCCCGUGAACCAUCGAGUCUUUGAACGCAAGUUGCGCCCGAAGCCAUUAGGCCGAGGGCACGCCUGCCUGGGCGUCACACGUCGUUGCCCCCCCAUCUACUCCUUCGGGAUUGCGGGGGGCGGAUGAUGGCCUCUCGUGCGCCUCGUCGCGCGGUUGGCCUAAAUGCCAAGUCCUCGGCGACGCACGCCACGACAAUCGGUGGUUGCGAAACCUCGGUUGCCUGUCGUGUGCGGUCGUCGCGCAUCGAGGGCUCGAAAAAAUUGCCGGGCUUCGGCUCGGCUUUCAACGCGACCCCAGGUCAGGCGGGGUUACCCGCUGAAUUUAAGCAUAUCAAUAGCGGAGGA